GGUUUGAUCUUGGCUCAGAUUGAACGCCGGCGGCAUGCCUUACACAUGCAAGUCGAACGGCAGCACGGGAGCUUGCUCCUGGUGGCGAGUGGCGAACGGGUGAGUAAUGCAUCGGAACGUAUCCUGGAGUGGGGGAUAACGUAGCGAAAGUUACGCUAAUACCGCAUAUUCUGUGAGCAGGAAAGCGGGGGACCUUCGGGCCUCGCGCUCUUGGAGCGGCCGAUGUCGGAUUAGCUAGUUGGUGAGGUAAAGGCUCACCAAGGCGACGAUCCGUAGCAGGUCUGAGAGGAUGAUCUGCCACACUGGAACUGAGACACGGUCCAGACUCCUACGGGAGGCAGCAGUGGGGAAUUUUGGACAAUGGGGGCAACCCUGAUCCAGCCAUGCCGCGUGAGUGAAGAAGGCC
rnacentral:rRNA from 1 species